CCCUGCGCGAGGUCUGAUGGUUGGCCGUCGCGGCUCUCCUACUCGCCGCCGCACCUUCAGGCUGCCGCCGCACUGCCCGCGACCGACCGGCUCCGCACGACCUUUUAAAGUAAUCAAAUUGAGAGCACUCAGGUUGCCAUCCAUGAACAGACAAGCACUUCCUUCCUCCCUCCAAGAGUCCUCCUUGGUCUGUAACAGGAACGCCCCUUACCCUACAGCAGGCACACUCUGCCAGGGGUCAGCAUGCCUUGCUUCGUGGGAAAACCUUGUUUGUUGUUCCCAUCACUGAUUCUGACCACGUGACCCUCCGCUCUUCACCCAGAGCAUCAGCAGCUACUUCUGUGGCCAUGCACUUCUAGGAAGCACGAAGCUUGUGCUCACCAUCCACGUUCAUGAGUUCCUGACAGCCACUGGCAGGGAAGGAGGUACUCGGCUUCAUCUUGAUACAGCUGACUACCUAGGAGGCACCAUGGAAAAACAAGCAAGAUGCACUACUUUUUAACUCUAGUAAACCUUUAGGGGGUCAAACUACAGAAUGCAGAGCCCAUUAAGUAGCUGAAGGGAUAGCCAAUGUUGAUAUAUCCUGCAUUUCUCAAAGAUUUUCAUUAAAAGUGGUUCAACUCAA